GACGAACGCUGACGGCGUGCUUAACACAUGCAAGUCGAACGGUCAGGCGCCUUCCUUUUUGGUGGGUGUUUAUGAGCGGCGAACGGGGGAGUAACACGUUAGUAACCUGACCCCUUCUGCUUGAUAACCGCAUGAAAGUGUGGCUAAUACGUGAUAUUCUGAGUCUGUCGCAUGAUUAGUCUGGGACAGAUUUUGUUUCGGUUGGGGAUGGGCUCGCGGCCUAUCAGCUUGUUGGUGGGGUGAUGGCCUACCAAGGCGAGGAGGGGUAGCCGGCAUGAGAGGGUGGGCGGCGCCACAGGUACUGCGAGAUCGAGCCGACUACGAAGGGAGGCAGCAGGGAGGAAUAUUGAACGGUGGGAGGAAGCCUGAUGCAGCGACGCCGCGUGAGUGAUGGAGGCCUUCGGGUUGUGAACCUCUAUCGCGAGUGAAGCAGGCCUGCAUCGUUUGUGGGUGGGUUGACGGUAGCUGGAUAAGAAGCGCCGGCUAACUACGUG
rnacentral:rRNA from 1 species